rnacentral:rRNA from 1 species
AUGAACGCUAGCUACAGGCUUAACACAUGCAAGUCGAGGGGCAUCAGGAAGAAAGCUUGCUUUCUUUGCUGGCGACCGGCGCACGGGUGAGUAACACGUAUCCAACCUGCCCUUUACUCGGGGAUAGCCUUUCGAAAGAAAGAUUAAUACCCGAUGGCAUAAUGAUUCCGCAUGGUUUCAUUAUUAAAGGAUUCCGGUAAAGGAUGGGGAUGCGUUCCAUUAGGUUGUUGGUGAGGUAACGGCUCACCAAGCCUUCGAUGGAUAGGGGUUCUGAGAGGAAGGUCCCCCACAUUGGAACUGAGACACGGUCCAAACUCCUACGGGAGGCAGCAGUGAGGAAUAUUGGUCAAUGGGCGCUAGCCUGAACCAGCCAAGUAGCGUGAAGGAUGAAGGCUCUAUGGGUCGUAAACUUCUUUUAUAUAAGAAUAAAGUGCAGUAUGUAUACUGUUUUGUAUGUAUUAUAUGAAUAAGGAUCGGCUAACUCCGUGCCAGCAGCCGCGGUAAUACGGAGGAUCCGAGCGUUAUCCGGAUUUAUUGGGUUUAAAGGGAGCGUAGGUGGACUGGUAAGUCAGUUGUGAAAGUUUGCGGCUCAACCGUAAAAUUGCAGUUGAUACUGUCAGUCUUGAGUACAGUAGAGGUGGGCGGAAUUCGUGGUGUAGCGGUGAAAUGCUUAGAUAUCACGAAGAACUCCGAUUGCGAAGGCAGCUCACUGGACUGCAACUGACACUGAUGCUCGAAAGUGUGGGUAUCAAACAGGAUUAGAUACCCUGGUAGUCCACACAGUAAACGAUGAAUACUCGCUGUUUGCGAUAUACAGUAAGCGGCCAAGCGAAAGCAUUAAGUAUUCCACCUGGGGAGUACGCCGGCAACGGUGAAACUCAAAGGAAUUGACGGGGGCCCGCACAAGCGGAGGAACAUGUGGUAUAAUUCGAUGAUACGCGAGGAACCUUACCCGGGCUUAAAUUGCAGUGGAAUGAUGUGGAAACAUGUCAGUGAGCAAUCACCGCUGUGAAGGUGCUGCAUGGUUGUCGUCAGCUCGUGCCGUGAGGUGUCGGCUUAAGUGCCAUAACGAGCGCAACCCUUAUCUUUAGUUACUAACAGGUCAUGCUGAGGACUCUAGAGAGACUGCCGUCGUAAGAUGUGAGGAAGGUGGGGAUGACGUCAAAUCAGCACGGCCCUUACGUCCGGGGCUACACACGUGUUACAAUGGGGGGUACAGAAGGCAGCUAGCGGGUGACCGUAUGCUAAUCCCAAAAUCCUCUCUCAGUUCGGAUCGAAGUCUGCAACCCGACUUCGUGAAGCUGGAUUCGCUAGUAAUCGCGCAUCAGCCACGGCGCGGUGAAUACGUUCCCGGGCCUUGUACACACCGCCCGUCAAGCCAUGGGAGCCGGGGGUACCUGAAGUACGUAACCGCAAGGAUCGUCCUAGGGUAAAACUGGUGACUGGGGCU